GAGGAGAGGUCUCUCAAGUGUCUUAUUGUUGAUAGUAAUUUGUUUAUAUUGAUUGUAUUUGUUAAUUUGAUUCUUUGUCAUCAUCAACUGACACACUGAGAGCAGAGUUUGGGGGAGAAAGGUAUCUGAUUUAAGUGACUCUUUAAAGAGUUGAACCAUGAAGCACAAAAAAAAGCAGAAACAUCUGGAAGGCAAGUAUUUCAUCAAAACUGCAAGGAUGUCAAGAGGACCAUGCAACACCCAAGAGGACACGCCUCAGCGUCAGUCACCUGUGGAGGCCGCAGCCUGUCGUCAGGCAGCAGGAGAAAGGCCUGACUUCUCUAAAGGUUUCAUCGGUGUCUUCUCCCCAUUGAAGCGUCCCCGUCUUGAUAAGGAUGGACGAUACAACACCAAAGACGAUGCACCUCAACCAAAGUCACCUGAGGAGACCCCAUCCUGUGGUCAAGGAGCAAGAGAAAAGUCUGCGUUCUCUGAACCUUUCGUCUGUGUUUUCUCACCA